UACGAAGGGGGCUAGCGUUGCUCGGAAUUACUGGGCGUAAAGGGAGCGUAGGCGGAUAGUUCAGUCAGAGGUGAAAGCCCAGGGCUCAACCUUGGAAUUGCCUUUGAUACUGGACAUCUUGAGUACGGGAGAGGUGAGUGGAACUCCGAGUGUAGAGGUGAAAUUCGUAGAUAUUCGCAAGAACACCAGUGGCGGAAGGCGCUCACUGGCCCGAUACUGACGCUGAGGCACGGAAAGCGAU
rnacentral:rRNA from 1 species